rnacentral:rRNA from 1 species
AACCUGCCUGUAAGACUGGGAUAACUCCGGGAAACCGGGGCUAAUACCGGAUGGUUGUUUGAACCGCAUGGUUCAGACAUAAAAGGUGGCUUCGGCUACCACUUACAGACGGACCCGCGGCGCAUUAGCUAGUUGGUGAGGUAACGGCUCACCAAGGCAACGAUGCGUAGCCGACCUGAGAGGGUGAUCGGCCACACUGGGACUGAGACACGGCCCAGACUCCUACGGGAGGCAGCAGUAGGGAAUCUUCCGCAAUGGACGAAAGUCUGACGGAGCAACGCCGCGUGAGUGAUGAAGGUUUUCGGAUCGUAAAGCUCUGUUGUUAGGGAAGAACAAGUGCCGUUCAAAUAGGGCGGCACCUUGACGGUACCUAACCAGAAAGCCACGGCUAACUACGUGCCAGCAGCCGCGGUAAUACGUAGGUGGCAAGCGUUGUCCGGAAUUAUUGGGCGUAAAGGGCUCGCAGGCGGUUUCUUAAGUCUGA